GAUGAAGAACGUAGCGAAAUGCGAUACUUGGUGUGAAUUGCAGAAUCCCGUGAACCAUCGAGUCUUUGAACGCAAGUUGCGCCCGAAGCCGUCAGGCCGAGGGCACGCCUGCCUGGGCGUCACACGCCGUUGCCCCCCCGCGCCCCGCACCCAACUCUUUGGGAGCGACCGCGGGGCGGGCUGAUGAUGGCCUCCCGUGCGCUCCGCCGCGCGGUAGGCCCAAAUACCGAGUCCCCGGCGACGUGCGCCACGACGAUCGGUGGUUGAGAGACCUCUGUCGCAAGUCGUGCGCGCCCGUCGCGUCACGCGGGCUCGCAUAGCGCCUCGCGCCGCACCCGGUGCGGAGCUUUCAACGCGACCCCAGGUCAGGCGGGGUUACCCGCUGAAUUUAAGCAUAUCAAUAAGCGGAGGA
rnacentral:misc_RNA from 1 species